GCAAGUCGAGCGGUAACAGGGGAGCUUGUUCCCCGCUGACGAGCGGCGGACGGGUGAGUAAUGCAUAGGAAACUGCCCAGUAGUGGGGGAUAGCCCGGGGAAACCCGGAUUAAUACCGCAUACGCCCUUCGGGGGAAAGCAGGGGAUCUUCGGACCUUGCGCUAUUGGAUGUGCCUAUGUCGGAUUAGCUAGUUGGUGGGGUAAGAGCCUACCAAGGCGACGAUCCGUAGCUGGUCUGAGAGGAUGAUCAGCCACAUCGGGAGUGAGACACGGCCCGAACUCUUACGGGAGGCAGCAGUGGGGAAUAUUGGACAAUGGGGGCAACCCUGAUCCAGCCAUGCCGCGUGUGUGAAGAAGGCUUUCGGGUUGUAAAGCACUUUCAGUGAGGAGGAAAACCUUAAGUUUAAUACUCNUGAGGCUUGACGUUACUCACAGAAGAAGCACCGGCUAACU
rnacentral:rRNA from 1 species